GGAACACCUCCAGUGGCUUCGGGCUCCUCAAACUGAAUCUGUGCCGUGGUGGAAAAGGGCCUCACCUCGCUGAUGGAUGGAGCCGAUGGCACCUCUGGAAGAAUGGAAGACAUGCAGCGUGAUUACAACAGAAAGUGUGCAGGUCAUUAUCUCUAGCAAAACUGCUGGCAGGACACAGGCCCCUUAACAACCACACUACAGGAUUUAGAUAUUCAGCUACUACUGUCGUCCAUGAUUUUACCUGCUCUCCUUCAGUGAAGACGUGCUCACCGUAGCUCCAGCUGAUGGUUGGUGUUGGGUCCCCUGAAGCUUCACAGGUAAGCGUUACCUGCUCCUCCAUCUCUGAUGUGCUCUGGUUUACGAUGUAUGUGAUCUUGGGUUUGAC